UGGAGGAUGACUGCACGAAAAUCUGUCUCUGGUUGUAGAAAAACUACACUGCAGUGUCCUGCAGUGGGACAGGGAAGCCAUCUUCACCUAAGAGUCUGAAUCCAGUUAUUCAGCAAAAAGCAGCAUGAGAUCACCUUCUAACACCUCUCCAGCUCCUUUGGGGUAGGUGAAAAGGGUUUUCCGUGGUGGGGCAAGGUCUGAGACACUGAAACCUGAUGCAGUAACAGAACUUCCACUGACCCCACCAGCUGAAGAGGAGGAUGAAGAGGCUGCCAUUUCCUCUAGUAGAAUUUUCACUUCAC